AAAAAAGGUAAGCUACUAAGAGCGAAUGGUGGAUGCCUUGACUGGUAAAGGCGAUGAAGGACGUACUAGACUGCGAUAAGCUACGGGGAGCUGUCAAGAAGCUUUGAUCCGUAGAUUUCCGAAUGGGGCAACCCAAUGUAUAGAGAUAUACAUUACCUAUAUAGGAGCGAACGAGGGGAAUUGAAACAUCUUAGUACCCUCAGGAAAAGAAAUCAAUAGAGAUUGCGUCAGUAGCGGCGAGCGAAAGCGUAAGAGGGCAAACCCAGUGCUUGCACUGGGGGUUGUAGGACUGCAAUGUGCAAGAGGUGAGUUUAGCAGAACAUUCUGGAAAGUAUAGCCAUAGAGGGUGAUAGUCCCGUAUGCGAAAAACAAACCUUAGCUAGCAGUAUCCUGAGUAGGGCGGGACACGAGAAAUCCUGUCUGAAGCUGGGUCGACCACGAUCCAACCCUAAAUACUAAUACCAGAUCGAUAGUGCACAAGUACCGUGAGGGAAAGGUGAAAAGAACCGCGGUGAGCGGAGUGAAAUAGAACCUGAAACCAUUUGCUUACAAUCAUUCAGAGCACUAUGUAGCAAUACAGUGUGAUGGACUGCCUUUUGCAUAAUGAGCCUGCGAGUUGUGGUGUCUGGCAAGGUUAAGCAAACGCGAAGCCGUAGCGAAAGCGAGUCUGAAUAGGGCGCUUAGUCAGAUGCUGCAGACCCGAAACGAAGUGAUCUAUCCAUGAGCAAGUUGAAGCUAGUGUAAGAACUAGUGGAGGACUGAACCCAUAGGCGUUGAAAAGCCCCGGGAUGACUUGUGGAUAGGGGUGAAAGGCCAAUCAAACUUCGUGAUAGCUGGUUCUCUCCGAAAUAUAUUUAGGUAUAGCGUUGUGUCGUAAUAUAAGGGGGUAGAGCACUGAAUGGGCUAGGGCAUACACCAAUGUACCAAACCCUAUCAAACUCCGAAUACCUUAUAUGUAAUCACAGCAGUCAGGCGGCGAGUGAUAAAAUCCGUCGUCAAGAGGGAAACAACCCAGACUACCAGCUAAGGUCCCUAAAUCUUACUUAAGUGGAAAACGAUGUGAAGUUACUUAAACAACCAGGAGGUUGGCUUAGAAGCAGCCAUCCUUUAAAGAAAGCGUAAUAGCUCACUGGUCUAGUGAUUUUGCGCGGAAAAUAUAACGGGGCUAAAGUA
rnacentral:rRNA from 1 species